rnacentral:lncRNA from 1 species
AUUUUGUUAAAAAAAUUAAUUUGGCCCCCUAAAAUUAAAAUUUAUAAUAUUUUAAUUUUUAUUAUAAAGGACUUUUAUAUAAUUUUAAAAAAUUUAGGGGGACCAUGGCCACUGUGGGCCUCUCAAUUGGUCCGUCCCUGAUUCCAUCUACCACUACCUACUACUACCUACCACCAUCAUUCUAACUCUACAUCUUUCCAUCCAAUGACUAAAAACUGAAAAGAACCAUCCUCUUGGUUCUUUUGAGAGUAUUCUAUCAUAAAAAGCAGAUUUUUUCGUCAGAUUCGUAAAAAAUGAUUUCGUGAAAAAUUAUUUUACGUAAAAAAAAUGCUAGAA